rnacentral:rRNA from 1 species
GACGAACGCUGGCGGCGUGCUUAACACAUGCAAGUCGAACGGAAAGGCCCUGCUUUUGUGGGGUGCUCGAGUGGCGAACGGGUGAGUAACACGUGAGUAACCUGCCCUUGACUUUGGGAUAACUUCAUGAAACUGGGGCUAAUACCGGAUAGGAGCUCCUGCUGCAUGGUGGGGGCUGGAUAGUUUCGGCGGUUGGGGGUGGACUCGCGGCUUAUCAGCUUGUUGGUGUGGUAGUGGCUUACCAAGGCUUUGACGGGUAGCCGGCCUGAGAGGGUGACCGGCCACAUUGGGACUGAGAUACGGCCCAGACUCCUACGGGAGGCAGCAGUGGGGAAUAGUGCACAAGGGGAGGAAGCCUGAUGCAGCAACGCCGCGUGCGGGAUGACGGCCUUCGGGUUGUAAACCGCUUUCGCCUGUGACGAAGCGUGAGUGACGGUAAUGGGUAAAGAAGCACCGGCUAACUACGUG